rnacentral:lncRNA from 12 species
AUGUUUAAAGUCAAAACCGCCAUGGGCUCCAAGGGGUUUUAUCUUUGUCAUUUGUAUGAUCUGCCUCAAAAUACAUACCCUGGAAGGCGUCUCCUCCCGCUUUGGGGUCUCUUACCCCAAGCGAGGAGGACGGCACCCCCCACCCCCACCCCCACCCCCACCCGAGCGAAGAAAGCGGAGAUAAUGCUUUCAUGGAUGAUGAAACCCGUGUCUGAAAGUCAGUGGGUUUGCAAGUUGGUUGCGAAGGAGGCGGGCGCUCCGCGGAAGGAGCGGGGCGGGGAGGCGGGAGGGCGGGUGCGCGGGGCCGGCGCGGGGCCCCCGGCGGCGGGGAGGGAGCGAGGGAGGGAGGGAGCCGCGGAGCCCCGGCGGCCGCGCAGCGCAGCGCAGCGCAGCGGCCCGGCCCCCGCCCCCGCCGAGGCCCGGGGGUGGGAGGCCUCCGCUCCCCCCUGGCGCCCGGGAGGUGGAGGAGGGCUCCUGAACACGCAGCCACGUGUAGCCAGCUCCAGGGCUGCCUGCCUUACUUGCUGUGGCUUCACGCCAUGCCGGGCAAGGAUCACACCUUGUCUUGUCCAGAGAGCAAGGGAGUGUUACUAGCUUCGUGUUUGAAAAGAUGUCAAGAAGAAACUAAGAAAGUGUAGAAGACUCAGAAAAACCCCCACUGGGGAGGCUGCCUUUUACUAACACCAACUCAGUAAACACCAGUUUGUACACCAUUCCGUUUAAACUUGACAAUGGCCCCAAGGUAAGUAUUUUUACUCCAUUUUACAAGGAGGAAAUGAAAGCUAAAAGAGGUUGGUAACAUUGCCGGUUGCACAGCUAGGACAGAGCACAGCAGUAGUAAAUACCACUUACUGAGUAGCUGCGUUGCCUGUCUUUACUCAUUAAAUGUUCUCAACAACACUGUGAGAUGG